CUCCAAGGUAACUACAGACAGAUGGAUUCAUCUACAUCAUCUCCAAGGUAACUACAGACAGAUGGAUUCAUCUACAUCAUCUCCAAGGUAACUACAGACAGAUGGAUUCCUCUACAUCAUCUCCAAGGUAACUACAGACAGAUGGAUUCCUCUACAUCAUCUCCAAGGUAACUACAGACAGAUGGAUUCAUCUCCAUCAUCACACAGAUAGUAAGAUUCCAGUUUGUGAAGCCCAGCGUUCUGAUGUGUGUGUUGAUUCUGUGGUGUCUUACCCUAGGGCCUCUGGCUACAGUUAGAAGUGUGGUGGUAUCUCAGCUUUCUCAGCCUGAGCAGUUGGGACAAGGCAGACUCCUCUAACUCAGGUGUUUUUG